rnacentral:rRNA from 1 species
UACGUAGGGUGCGAGCGUUAAUCGGAAUUACUGGGCGUAAAGCGUGCGCAGGCGGUUUUGUAAGCCAGAUGUGAAAGCCCCGGGCUUAACCUGGGAAUGGCAUUUGGGACUGCAAGGCUUGAGUGCGGCAGAGGAGACUGGAAUUCCUGGUGUAGCAGUGAAAUGCGUAGAGAUGUGGAGGAACACCGAUGGCGAAGGCAGCCCCCUGGGCCGACACUGACGCUCAGGCACGAAAGCGUGGGGAGCAAACAGG